AUGGAGGAUGGUACGCCGGCCGCCGGCGCCGGCCUCCGGCGCCGGCCGCCAGUCCUCGGCCUCCUCCGUGAUUUGAUUGGCUGCUAUAAGAAGCAAGGGUCCUCGGCCGGAAUCUCCAUCUGGUUUUGCCUUUCAACCAUAAUCUCCAUCAUCCCGUCGAAAUUGCAAUUUUUGACCAAACAUCCAAUGUCGCCGCCAAGUUCGCUGGAGGAAGAAGCGCCGAGUUCGCCGGAGGAACAAGCACCGAGUUCGCCGGAGGAACAAGAACGCCCGCCGAGUCCUGUGGUGGCUACACGAGAGGCCCUUAAGAUGAGUAAUGAACAUCCAUUGAGCCGUCCAAUGUUGCCUGUGGCAACUACACCGGAGCCAUCGUCUCCUUUGACUUCACCGCCAUCGUCUCCAUCGACUUCGCCGCAAGACAAUCUGCCACCGCCUCCGCCGAUUUUGCCGGAAGACCAUCAGCCGUCGCCUAGACCUACUUUGAGAUAA
rnacentral:rRNA from 1 species